UACGUAGGCGGCAAGCGUUGUCCGGAUUUAUUGGGUUUAAAGGGUGCGUAGGCGGUCUAUUAAGUCAGCGGUGAAAUACUCCAGCUUAACUGGAGGGGUGCCAUUGAUACUGAUGGACUUGAGUCAAGUCGAGGUAGGCGGAAUUGACAGUGUAGCGGUGAAAUGCUUAGAUAUCGUCAAGAACACCAAUAGUGAAGACAGCUUACUGGGCUUAAACUGACGCUGAGGCACGAAAGUGUGGGGAUCAAACAGG
rnacentral:rRNA from 1 species